rnacentral:misc_RNA from 1 species
GUGCAGCAGGUUGGCGCGCUCAUCCUCCGGCAGCGCCCACAGAUAGGCGCGGCCCAUCGCCGUCGUCGCGAUCGGGACCUUGGAGCCGACAUCGAGCAGCACGCCGACAGUCAAUUCACUGCGGCUCUGUCCGAAGUAGAUCAUGCUGAGACGAUCGCGCGCGCCGAUCGCAACCGCGCCGCCGGUCUCGCGCAUCAACUGGUCGCGAUAAGGAUCAGACACAUGACGCACGCCCAUGUUGGCGAGUGCGGAAUAUCCGAGCGCCAUCGCCGCGGGCGCAAGCUGAUAU